rnacentral:miRNA from 2 species
AAAUCUCUGCAGGCAAAUGUGG